rnacentral:rRNA from 1 species
UACGAAGGGAGCUAGCGUUGUUCGGAAUCACUGGGCGUAAAGCGCACGUAGGCGGACGUGUCAGUCAGGGGUGAAAUCCCGGAGCUCAACUUCGGAACUGCCUUUGAUACAGCACGUCUUGAGUCCGGAAGAGGUGGGUGGAAUUCCCGGUGUAGAGGUGAAAUUCGUAGAUAUCGGGAGGAACACCGGUGGCGAAGGCGGCGACCUGGGUAGAUACUGACGCUGAGGCGCGAAAGCGUGGGGAGCAAACAGG